rnacentral:tRNA from 1 species
AAGAACUUUGAAAAGAAUAACGGGCAAAUGUACAAUCCAGGUGUGGAAAGAGCAUAGACUUUCUUUCUUCGUAGAGUUUUUUUUCUUAGUGGGUCGAUCAGCCUUUAAUCAGCUCAUAGAGUCUUAGUGGGUAGAUCACCCUUUAAUCAGCUCAUAGAGACUUAGUGGGUCGAUCAGCCUUUAAUCAGCUCAUAGAGACUUAGUGGGUCGAUCAGCCUUUAAUCAGCUCAUAGAGACUUAGUGGGUCGAUCAGCCUUUAAUCAGCUCAUAGAGACUUAGUGGGUCGAUCAGCCUUUAAUCAGCUCAUAGAGGCUUAGUGGGUCGAUCAGCCUUUAAUCAGCUCAUAGAGGCUUAGUGGGUCGAUCAGCCUUUAAUCUGCUCAUAGAGACUUAGUGGGUCGAUCAGCCUUUAAUCAGCUCAUAGAGACUUAGUGGGUCGAUCAGCCUUUAAUCAGCUCAUAGAGACUUACCCAGAAAGACUUAUCUAAUCAAUAUACAUUUGUGGGUUUUUUUUCUUCUCAUGAAUGUUAGAAACGUUUGACAUUACAGAGUAUUUUGUGUAGAUCGUUCACAACAACAACAACAACAAAAAACAGACAAUUAAAAUACAUUUUAAUUGCAUUUUAUAAAAGUCAAGGUGUGUGAAUACCUUCCCGGAAGGCAGUGUAUAUAUGAUUUUUCUAGUAGGUGGAGCUGUACUGGAACGUUGCCGUUGUACUGAGCCCCCCAUUUCAUACCAUAAGGUCAGGGGUCAGGUAACAGUGGAGAUGGGGGUUGGGGCUCUCUCUCUUAGGUCAAAGCGCAGACAGACCCACUGCAGCAACCGUAGACCCGAUAACUGUUACUGAUUGAUAAAUACCGUUGUCUUGUUGGAACCCACGGAGACAGACGAGCUGUUGUUACGUUACGACAACGUAAGGGACAGGAAAUGACAAUCAGUCUGUACUAAUAGUACAUCCCCAUGUACGACAGGAAAACAUGAGUGCGGUUAUGGGGUUAGGUUACCCACGUGGAACUUAAAGAUCACUGAAUCAGAGAGAGAAGGAGGGAGAGAGAAGUACAAUGAGAGAGAGAGGGAGGGAGAGAAGUACAAUGAGAGAGAGAGGGAGGGAGAGAAGUACAAUGAGAGGGAGGGAGAGAAGUACAAUGAGAGAGGGAGAGAAGGAGAGAGAGAGAGAGAAGAAGAAGAAGGAACAGAAAGUGUUUUAACACCACUAACACUAUCCUCUGUCUCAAACUCUCACAAAUGUUUUCUUCCUGUAUAAAUUCUCUAAGGUGGAACUACUCAUAGAGUCAAAAACGAAAGUAAAGUAUCAAGACAGUUUAGUUGUGGAUCAGUAGAUGUGAUAUUAAAGACAGUUUAGUUGUGGAUCAGUAGAUGUGAUAUUAAAGACAGUUGAGUUGUGGAUCAGUAGAUGUGAUAUUAAAGACAGUUGAGUUGUGGAUCAGUAGAUGUGAUAUUAAAGACAGUUGAGUUGUGGAUCAGGAUAAUUAAUAUUAAAGACAGUUGAGUUGUGGAUCAGGACAAUUGAUAUUAAAGACAGUUGAGUUGUGGAUCAGGAGAAUUGAUAUUAAAGACAGUUGAGUUGUGGAUCAGUAGAUGUGAUAUUAAAGACAGUUGAGUUGUGGAUCAGGAGAAUUGAUAUUAAAGACAGUUUAGUUGUGGAUCAGGAGAAUUGAUAUUAAAGACAGUUGAGUUGUGGAUUAGUAGAUGUGAUAUUAAAGACAGUUGAGUUGUGGAUCAGUAGAAUUGAUAUUAAAGACAGUUGAGUUGUGGAUCAGUAGAUGUGAUAUUAAGGACAGUUGAGUUGUGGAUCAGUAGACGUGAUCCCUCUUACUGGAAGCAGAGCCUUGACUCUGAGAUGUAGGCGGCUGUGAAUUUCCACCAGGGGGUUUCCCUACUAUCUCUCUGUGCCUCUCCCCACCUUCUCUCUCUCUCCCCCUGUCUUUCCCUUCACUCUCAGAUCGUUGUCUCCUUUCUCUUCUCUCUCUCACCCAGGAUGCCAUGGUGACACACUUUCCCUGAAAGAUACUAUUAUAGCUGAACAGAAACAAAAUAAUUCUGUCUGUCUGUCUGUCUGUCUGUCUGUCUGUCUGUCUGUCUGUCUGUCUGUCUGUCUGUCUGUCUAAACAUUUUGUUGGUCCCCACAAGGUCAAAUGCUAUUUCUAGGGGGUUUAAGGUUAAAGUUAGAAUUAGUGUUAGGGUUAGAAUUACGUUAAGGUUUAGAAGCUAGGGUUAGGUUUAGUUUUAGGUUUAGGGUUAGGUUUAGGGUUAGGUUUAGGUUUAGGGUUAGGGUUAGGAGCUAGAGUUAGGGUUAGGUUUAGGGUUAGGAGCUAUGGUUAGGGUUAGGUGCUAGGGUUAGGGUUAGGAGCUAGGGUUAGGGUUAGGAGCUAGGGUUAGGGUUAGGAGCUAUGGUUAGGGUUAGGUGUUAGGGUUAGGAGCUAGGGUUAGGGUUAGGAGCUAGGGUUAGGGUUAGGAGCUAGGGUUAGGGUUAGGAGCUAGGGUUAGGGUUAGGAGCUAGGGUUAGGGGUUAGGGUUAGGGUUAGGAGCUAGGGUUAGGGUUAGGAGCUAGGGUUAGGGUUAGGAGCUAGGGUUAGGGUUAAGGGUUAGGGUUAGAGUUAGGGUUAGGAGCUAGGGUUAGGAGCUUGGGUUAGGGUUAGGAGCUAGGGUUAGGAGCUAGGGUUAGGGUUAGGAGCUAGGGUUAGAGUUAGGGUUAGGGUUAGGAGCUAGGGUUAGGGUUAGGGUUAGGAGCUAGGGUUAGGUCUAGCCUGUUCAACCUCUUUUUCGUAUCGUCUGAGAUUCCCAAAGAUUGGAAAGCUGCCGCGGUCAUCCCCCUCUUCAAAGGGGGAGACACUCUAGACCCAAACUGUUACAGACCUAUAUCCAUCCUACCCUGCCUUUCUAAAGUCUUCGAAAGCCAAGUUAAUAAACAAAUUACUGACCAUUUUGAAUCCCACCGUACCUUCUCCGCUAUGCAAUCUGCUUCCAGAGCUGGUCACGGGUGCACCUCAACCACGCUCAAGGUACUAAAUGAUAUCAUGUGGUCCCGUGUGGCUCAGUUGGUAGAGCAUGGUGUUUGCAAUGCCAGGGUUGUGGGUUCGAUUCCCACGGGGGACCAGUACG